rnacentral:rRNA from 1 species
UACGAAGGGGGCUAGCGUUGUUCGGAUUUACUGGGCGUAAAGCGCACGUAGGCGGGUCUUUAAGUCAGAGGGGAAAUCCUGGAGCUCAACUCCAGAACUGCCUUUGAUACUGAGGAUCUAGAGUUCGGGAGAGGUGAGUGGAACUGCGAGUGUAGAGGUGAAAUUCGUAGAUAUUCGCAAGAACACCAGUGGCGAAGGCGGCUCACUGGCCCGAUACUGACGCUGAGGCACGAAAGCGUGGGGAGCAAACAGG